rnacentral:rRNA from 1 species
GACGAACGCUGGCGGCGUGCUUAACACAUGCAAGUCGAACGGUAAGGCCCUUCGGGGUACACGAGUGGCGAACAGGUGAGUAACGCGUGAGUAACCUGCCCUUCACUCUGGGAUAACAGUUGGAAACGGCUGCUAAUACCGGAUAUUCAGCUCCUGUCGCAUGGUGGGGGUUGGAAGGUUUUGGUGGUGGAGGAUGGGCUCGCGUCCUAUCAGCUUGUUGGUGGGGUGAUGGCCUACCAAGGCGUCGACGGGUAGCCGGCCUGAGAGGGCGACCGGCCACAUUGGGACUGAGAUACCGCCCAAACUCCUCCGGGAGGCAGCAGUGGGGAAUAUUGCACAAUGGGCGGAAGCCUGAUGCAGCAACGCCGCGUGCGGGAUGACGGCCUUCGGGUUGUAAACCGCUUUCAGCAGGGACGAAGCGCAAGUGACGGUACCUGCAGAAGAAGCACCGGCUAACUCCGUG